GAUGAACGCUGACAGAAUGCUUAACACAUGCAAGUCAACUGUGGCGGACGGGUGAGUAACGCGUAAAGCACUUGCCUCACGGAUAGGGCCAACAUUUGGAAACGAAUGCUAAUACCUGAUACUGUGAGAGAGCUUUGCGUCCCAUUAGCUAGUUGGAGAGGUAACGGCUCACAAAGGCGAUGAUGGGUAGCCGGCCUGGGAGGGUGAUCGGCCACAAGGGGACUUGGACACGGGCCUUACUCCUACGGGAGGCAGCAGUGGGGAAUAUUGGACAAUGGACCAAAGUCUGAUCCAGCAAUUCUGUGUGCACGAUGAAGUUUUCGCAAUGGAAAGUGCUGUCAGUGAGGAAGCGGUACCAACAGAAGAAGUGACGGCUAAAUACGUGCCAGCAGCCGCGGUAAUUC
rnacentral:rRNA from 1 species